GUGACUUUUACAGUCUCAAAAAUAUUAAACAUAUAUUAGGAUGGUCACAUCCUCUGAGCUGAAUACUGUUAGAUGUUGCACUUUUAAGAUCCAAUACUCAUUUGGCUCCUUUGUUGUUUCUUUCAGGCUGGUGGAAGAGGUUACUGUCCUACCCUAGCUAACAGCUACUCUUUAUUGAACUCUUCUCAUCUCUACAGCCUCCAUAAAAAUAUAAUUUACCACCUUUUGAGCACCUGCUCUGUGUUAUUUAGACUUUGUGGCAACUCCAUGAGCUUAACCCUGAAGAACAAUGAUAUUUACACCAUCUCUAAUGUGUAUUGACAAG
rnacentral:lncRNA from 1 species